rnacentral:rRNA from 3 species
CCCGGUGAUCAUUAUGAAGAGGCCACACCCGUUCCCAUUCCGAACACGGAAGUUAAGCUCUUUAAUGCCGAUGGUACUGCCUUUGGGUGGGAGAGUAGGUCGUCGCCGGGC